GGGGGCGAAAAGGGUUCGACGGGGAUCGUUGACGUCAGGGUGGCAUGCCGAGGUCCCAUUGGCUCGUUAAACAAAUGGGAUUAAACAUAAUCGCAAACAACUACGAUUAUGCCCUGGCUGCCUAAGGGCAGCUAGGCGUCCUCCCUGUCCUUGCCUGUAGGGCAGGAUCAGGAUGUCACAAAAACAGGAUAGUCCCCUUCCGACGCCUAUAGGAGGAGGGCGAAACUUCAUAGGAUAGUCUCUCGGGAAUCCUGCCUGUGGGAGAUCCAAGGGGCGAAUUUAAAAUACAGGCUAUGUAUGUAGAAGCUCUGUCGGAAGGUUCUCGGACGCGGGUUCGAUUCCCGCCGCCUCCACCA
rnacentral:tmRNA from 1 species